rnacentral:tRNA from 1 species
CGGGGCGUGGCGCAGCUUGGUUAGCGCACCUGUCUGGGGUGCAGGUGGUCGGAGGUUCGAAUCCUCUCGCCCCGACCA